AAGCAUAUUAAUAAGCGGAGGAAAAGAAACUAACAAGGAUUCCCUGAGUAACGGCGAGCGAAAAGGGAAUAGCCCAGCGCCGAAUCUCUUGUCCUCCGGGCAAGAAGACAUGUGGCGUUUGGGACGAGGCUUUGCCUGUGCAGAAUGGUCAUCCAAGUCCCUCUUGAACGGGGCCAUAGCCCAUGGAGGGUGCUAGGCCCGUAUGAUGACUUUAUUGUGCAGUGCGUCUUGUCCGUAGAGUCGGGUUGCUUGGGAGUGCAGCCCAAAUCAGGUGGUAAACUCCAUCUAAGGCUAAAUAUGACCACGAGACCGAUAGCGAACAAGUACCGUGAGGGAAAGUUGAAAAGAACUUUGAAGAGAGAGUUAAAAAGUACGUGAAACCUCUCGGGGGUAAGCGGGCAGAACUUGCAAGUAUUGGCUGGGAACAUUCAGGCUUAGUGUUGGUGGCUUGUGGUGCACGUUUUGUUGCUCUUUCGGGAGUUGACUGCCGUGUGCUGCUUGUUCUACUGACGAUGCGCCGCAUUUGUUCCUGUCAUCGGGUUGCAUGCGACUUGACUGGGAGGUUAGGGGCUGGGGGUUUGCAAAUCCUUGUGGUUUGAACCCUGGUUUCCAACUGGUGUCGGGGUCGGUGAAAUUACGAGUAGGGGCUUGUUGCGGUCCAAAGAUUUCGCGAAUUGGGGGGUUUAGAUAAGGGGGAGGGUAACCGUAGCAAGUUGUCUGGAACUGCUGUCAGUGAAAUUUUGUAUUUGGCAGUGCUCUGAUUGCAAUCUAAAGCAUGCGUGGUCUGCCUGUCCCGUCUUGAAACACGGAA
rnacentral:rRNA from 1 species